rnacentral:rRNA from 1 species
UACAGAGGUCCCGAGCGUUGUUCGGAUUCACUGGGCGUAAAGGGUGCGUAGGUGGUGAGGUAAGUCGGAUGUGAAAUCUCCGGGCUUAACCCGGAAACUGCAUUGGAAACUACCUUGCUAGAGGUUUUGAGGGGGGACUGGAAUUCUCGGUGUAGCAGUGAAAUGCGUAGAUAUCGAGAGGAACACCGGUGGCGAAGGCGGGUCUCUGGGCCGAUACUGACGCUGAGGAGCGAAAGCGUGGGGAGCGAACAGG